rnacentral:pre_miRNA from 1 species
CUCACCAGACAAUCACUGUUCCGACAGGCUGAGACAGGUUCUCUGGCCAUCUGAUGAGUCACUGCUGUGGGGG